GACGAACGCUGGCGGCGUGCUUAACACAUGCAAGUCGAACGGAAAGGCCCUGCUUUUGUGGGGUGCUCGAGUGGCGAACGGGUGAGUAACACGUGAGUAACCUGCCCUUGACUUUGGGAUAACUUCAGGAAACUGGGGCUAAUACCGGAUAGGAGCUCCUGCUGCAUGGUGGGGGUUGGAAAGUUUCGGCGGUUGGGGAUGGACUCGCGGCUUAUCAGCUUGUUGGUGGGGUAGUGGCUUACCAAGGCUUUGACGGGUAGCCGGCCUGAGAGGGGGACCGGGCACAUGAGGACUGAGAGACGGCCCAGACUCCUACGUGAGGCAGCAGUGGGGAAUAUUGUACAGUGGGGGGAAGCGUGAUGCAGCAACGCCGCGUGCGGGAUGACGGCCUUCGGGUUGUAAACCGCUUUCGCCUGUGACGAAGCGUGAGUGACGGUAAUAGGUAAAGAAGCACCGGCUAACUACGUG
rnacentral:rRNA from 1 species